rnacentral:rRNA from 1 species
CGCGAAUGGCUCAUUACAACAGCUAUAAUUUACUUGAAUUUGACAACCCUACUUGGAUACCGGUGGUAAUUCUAGCGCUAAUACAUGCACCAAAGCUCCGACCGCGAGGGAAGAGCGCAUUUAUUAGAACAAAACCACACGGCUUCGGCCGUCCAAUGUUGACUCAGAAUAACUAAGCUGAUCGCAUGGUCUUGCACCGGCGACGUUUCUUUCAAGUAUCUGCCUUAUCAACUUUCGAUGGUAGUGCAUCUGACUACCAUGGUGAUGGCGGGUAACGGAGGAUAAGGGUUCGACUCCGGAGAAGGGGCCUGAGAAAUGGCCACUACGUCUAAGGAUGGCAGCAGGCGCGCAAACUACCCACUCUCAGUACGAGGAGGUAGUGACGAGAAAUAACAAGACCGUUCUCACAAGAGGCCGGUCAUUGGAGUGGGUACAAUUUAAACCCUUUAACGAGUAUCUAUGAGAGGGCAAGUCUGGUGCCAGCAGCCGCGGUAAUUCCAGCU